UACGUAGGUCCCGAGCGUUGCCCGGAUUUAUUGGGCGUAAAGCGAGCGCAGGUGGUUUAUUAAGUCUGGUGUAAAAGGCAGUGGCUCAACCAUUGUAUGCAUUGGAAACUGGUAGACUUGAGUGCAGGAGAGGAGAGUGGAACUCCAUGUGUAGCGGUGAAAUGCGUAGAUAUAUGGAGGAACACCGGUGGCGAAAGCGGCUCUCUGGCCUGUAACUGACACUGAGGCUCGAAAGCGUGGGGAGCAAACAGG
rnacentral:rRNA from 1 species